rnacentral:rRNA from 1 species
CCUACGUGUGGCAGCAGUGGGGAAUAUUGCACAAUGGGGGAAACCCUGAUGCAGCGACGCCGCGUGAGUGAAGAAGUAUUUCGGGAUGUAAAGCUCUAUCAGCAGGGAAGAAAAUGACGGUAACUGAUUAAGAAGCCACGGCUACCUCCGUGCCAGCAGCCGCGGUCAUACGUAGGGGGCAAGGGUUAUCCGGAUUUACUGGGUGUAGAGGGAGCGUAGACGGUGAUGCAAGUCAGGAGUGAAAGCCGGGGGCUGAACUCCGGGACUGCUUUUGAUACUGUGUGACUGGAGUGCAGUAGAGGUAAGCGGAAUUCCUGGUGUAGCGGUGAAAUGCGUAGAUAUCAGGAGGAACACCAGUGGCGAAGGCGGCUUACUGGACUGUAACUGACGUUGAGGCUCGAAAGCGUGGGGAGCAAACAGGAUUAGAUACCCGUGUAGUC